UACUUUUAAAAAAAAGGGUGAUUUGGAAAAAAACGUGGCAACGCGUCUUAUCAAUAAGCGGAGGAUGGAAGUAAAAAUCGUAACAAGGUCUCCGUUGGUGAACCAGCGGAGGGAUCAUUA
rnacentral:rRNA from 1 species